rnacentral:rRNA from 1 species
AUUGAACGCUGGCGGCAGGCCUAACACAUGCAAGUCGAGCGGAUGAAGGGAGCUUGCUCCUGGAUUCAGCGGCGGACGGGUGAGUAAUGCCUAGGAAUCUGCCUGGUAGUGGGGGAUAACGUCCGGAAACGAGCGCUAAUACCGCAUACGUUCUGAGGGAGAAAGUGGGGGAUCUUCGGACCUCACGCUAUCAGAUGAGCCUAGGUCGGAUUAGCUAGUUGGUGGGGUAAAGGCCUACCAAGGCGACGAUCCGUAACUGGUCUGAGAGGAUGAUCAGUCACACUGGAACUGAGACACGGUCCAGACUCCUACGGGAGGCAGCAGUGGGGAAUAUUGGACAAUGGGCGAAAGCCUGAUCCAGCCAUGCCGCGUGUGUGAAGAAGGUCUUCGGAUUGUAAAGCACUUUAAGUUGGGAGGAAGGGCAGUAAGUUAAUACCUUGCUGUUUUGACGUUACCAACAGAAUAAGCACCGGCUAACUUCGUG